rnacentral:tRNA from 1 species
GGGGGUGUAGUCUAGUGGUUAUGAUUUCUGCUUUGCAAGCUCUUCCGAGCUCUGAAUUGCAGAGGGUCCCGUGUUCAAAUCAUGGCGCCUCCA